AACGCACGAGACCUGCGGACCUGCGGAAGGAUCAUUAUUGAAUAAAUCUGACUUGGGUUGUAGCUGGCUUCUUCGGGAGCAUGUGCACGCCGGGUCACCUUUAUAUCUAUCCACCUGUGCACCCUUUGUAGUCCUGGAUACCUCUCGCUGAAAGGCGGAUGCAGAGUCUGCUGUGCCAUCGAAAAGAAGGUCGGCUUACUCUGAAUUUCCAGGCCUAUGAUUUUUUUAUACACCCCAAAU
rnacentral:misc_RNA from 1 species